rnacentral:rRNA from 1 species
GUUAUAAGACGAGUCGGGAAAGUUUUUUCGCUAAGAGAUCAGUCUAUGUCCUAUCAGCUAGUUGGUGAGGUAAUGGCUCACCAAGGCUAUGACGGGUAUCUGGUUUGAGAGGAUGAUCAGACACACUGGAACUGAGACACGGUCCAGACUCCUACGGGAGGCAGCAGUGAGGAAUAUUGCACAAUGGAGGAAACUCUGAUGCAGCAACGCCGCGUGGAGGAUGACGCAUUUCGGUGUGUAAACUCCUUUUAAGAGGGAAGAUAAUGACGGUACCUCUUGAAUAAGCACCGGCUAACUCCGUGCCAGCAGCCGCGGUAAUACGGAGGGUGCAAGCGUUACUCGGAAUCACUGGGCGUAAAGGGUGCGUAGGCUGGCUUCUAAGUCAGAUGUGAAAUCCAAUGGCUUAACCAUUGAACUGCAUUUGAAACUGGGAGCCUAGAGUUCAGAAGGAGCAGAUGGAAUUAGUGGUGUAGGGGUAAAAUCCGUAGAUAUCACUAGGAAUAUCAAAAGCGA